rnacentral:rRNA from 18 species
CGCCUCUCGAAGACAUAUGAAAGGUCCAACCUGCCCAGUGAAUAACUUUCAACGGCCGCGGUAUCCUGACCGUGCUAAGGUAGCGCAAUCACUUGCCCUUUAAUUGGGGGCUAGUAUGAAUGGUCAAACGAGGGUGGAGCUGUCUCCUUUAGGAAGCCAAUAAAUUACCCUACAUGUGAAGAGACAUGUAUACAUUAGGAAGACGAGAAGACCCUGUCAAGCUUCACAGGACCGGCUUCAUGCAGAACAGAAACCCUUCCCUGUUUUGUUGGGGCAACACCGGAACAAAAGCUUCCGGCAAACACCUUUCUUUUCAAGUACAAGAUCCGGCAAAGCCGAACAAAGAAUAAGCUACUGCAGGGAUAACAGGCUAAUCCGUCUCGAGAGCCCAUAUUGACAGACGGGAUUGGCACCUCGAUGUUGGCUUAGGGGCCCUGGUCGGAGCAGCAUCUGACCAAAGGAGGUUUGUUCAACCUAUAAUCCCCU